rnacentral:rRNA from 1 species
CCUACGGGAGGCUGCAGUGAGGAAUAUUGGUCAAUGGGCGCGAGCCUGAACCAGCCAAGUAGCGUGAAGGAUGACUGCCCUACGGGUUGUAAACUUCUUUUAUAAAGGAAUAAAGUGAGGCACGUGUGCCUUUUUGUAUGUACUUUAUGAAUAAGGAUCGGCUAACUCCGUGCCAGCAGCCGCGGUAAUACGGAGGAUCCGAGCGUUAUCCGGAUUUAUUGGGUUUAAAGGGAGCGUAGAUGGGUGGUUAAGUCAGUUGUGAAAGUUUGCGGCUCAACCGUAAAAUUGCAAUUGAUACUGGCAGUCUAGAGAACAGUUGAGGUAGGCGGAAUGCGUGGUGUAGCGGUGAAAUGCUUAGAUAUCACGAAGAACACCGAUUGCGAAGGCAGCUUACUAAGCUGCCACUGACAUUGACGCACGAAAGUGUGGGUAUCAAACAGGAUUAGAUACCCCGGUAGUC